rnacentral:ncRNA from 1 species
AACAGCCGUAUGCCGAACGGCAUGUACGGUGGUGUGAGAGGACAGGUAAUCAACUAAUGAUUACCUUCCUACUCGAU